rfam:Salmo salar isolate Sally breed double haploid chromosome ssa05, whole genome shotgun sequence.
AUUUAUUUUAUUUGUAAGUCGCUCUGGAUAAGAGCGUCUGCUAAAUGACUUAAA